rnacentral:rRNA from 1 species
GCUUCUUCGGAAGCUUUCACUCGAGGAUGGGCCUGCGUCCCAUUAGCUAGUUGGUGAGGUAACGGCCCACCAAGGCAAUGAUGGGUAGCUGGUCUGAGAGGAUGGCCAGCCACACUGGAACUGAGACACGGUCCAGACUCCUACGGGAGGCAGCAGUGGGGAAUUUUGGGCAAUGGGCGAAAGCCUGACCCAGCAACGCCGCGUGUGGGAUGAAGGCCCUCGGGUCGUAAACCACUGUCGGGAGGAAAGAACAGCCAGCCGGAUAAUACUCGGUUGGUCUGACGGUACCUCCAAAGGAAGCGCCGGCUAACUCCGUGCCAGCAGCCGCGGUAAUACGGAGGGCGCAAGCGUUGUUCGGAAUUACUGGGCGUAAAGCGCAUGCAGGUGGCUGAGUAAGUCGAAUGUGAAAGCCCCGGGCUCAACCCGGGAACUGCAUCCGAAACUGCUUAGCUAGAGUCCCGGAGAGGAAGGCAGAAUUCCCAAUGUAGGGGUGAAAUCCGUAGAUAUUGGGAGGAAUACCGGUGGCGAAGGCGGCCUUCUGGACGGUGACUGACACUCAGAUGCGAAAGCGUGGGGAGCAAACAGGAUUAGAUACCCUGGUAGUCCACGCCGUAAACGUUGCGAACUAGGUGUCGGGGGUAUUCACCCCUCCGGUGCCGAAGCUAACGUCUUAAG